rnacentral:lncRNA from 10 species
GAGCCUUUUUGAGUGUAAGGCCUAUCAUAUUUUGCUCCAAACGGAUGGUGGUUACAGUGGUUGUUGCUCCUGCUGCUGAAAUUGCAUUUUUGAUAACUCAAAUUAGGCCUCUGGGCAUGGCUCAUUCUAACCACAGCUAGCUGUCAUUUCAUAUUUCUAACUGUGAGAUAGAACUAUCUGCUCUCUUCAAAACCAACAAUAUAAAUAAAAUUUACCCUUUUCUCUUAUUUUUAAGUGUUUUUGGAACGUUACUGGGAACUGUGGAGAAAUGAAACAUGAAACACAGGACAAGGCCCCUGCUCUCAAAGGUCUUUAUUCUACAGCACAUAGUGAUAAUAAGUACAUGGAACCCAAGAAAAACAAAUCUAUCCUUGCAUUCAUCAAACAGUAUACAAAGUCUUGGAGUAUGUCCAAGAAAAGGCAUGCAACAUAAAGAAAAAAAUACAUCAAAGAACAAAGAAGACUGGGAGGAAAAUGAAGAAAACAAAAAAUCAACACACUGUCAUGUUAUUUAAGGCAAAUGGAAAGGGGAGAGAGACAGGGAUUGCUCUACGUUGUCAUGUGCUGUGGGAGGGAGCAUGUUGAAGAUGAAACCUGAAAAGGGGUUAAUUAUUAGUGACCUUUGUGGUUUGUGACAUAGAGAAUGGGGAGUCAAAACAAGAUUUCAAGGCUGUAAAAAAGAGUUUGUAAAAUGUUCAAGGAAGCAUGUGACAAAAGACGAGUGUCUGUUAUAUCCCCUUUGCACUAAAAAAAAAAGCCUAAUUUUCCCUGUACUUUAUCCUUUGCACUCUCCUUGCCUAUAGUAGUUUGUGUAAUUGUUUUCUAUGCAUUUUUCUGUGAAAAAGAUGGACACUAGACUGCUCAUUAAACAAAUAUAAACAAAUAAUUAUAGAAUACUGUUUAUAUAGCUAAUGCUAGAAAUAUACCAGUAAAUUUUCUUCUUGAUGGCUUUGAGCAUUUUUUUCUACAUCAAGUACUAUUGCUUUGUGUAUAUGAUCAAUCUUAUUCUCAAAAUGACCUUGUUGGUUUAUUUUUUUUUUAAAUUUUCUUUCUUACUUUGGUACACUGCAACUGAACAAGGGUUAUCAUUAUUUUUAUUGUUAUUAGCCAAUGAAGCAAAUAGAGACACAGAUAGAUUAAAUAACUUUACUGCAGUCAUACAAAUAGAAAUUAGAGGCAAUUUUAUAUGCACUGGUUGUGACUCUUUUGCACAUGUGAUUUAGAAGGAAACGUAAUAUGGCUCCAGACCUAUGUUCUUAAUUGCCAUUUUACACUUAUCUUUAUUUGUUUCCAACAAAUCCAAUAGACACUUUUCAUGUAUGGGCCACAUAGAGGAGAGACAGCAGCAUUCUUUAUGCUGGAAAUGAACAUAUUUAAAAGUGAAUAAAAAUGGAAAAAAGUAAAUAAAAUAAAUUUUCAAAAUCAGUAAUUCGAGAAAGUAUAAAUUAUUUUAAUAUUAGCUAAAUUAUUGUUUAAUAAAAUUAAUAAUUCU